UUUUUUUUUUUGUCUAACUAACUCAAAAAGGUUAGAAAAGAGAUCCUACAAAGGUUUUGGACAGUGAUUUUAACCCUAACGCCAAAAACCUUUAAACUUUACCUAGCCCUGUAACCUAAUAUCUGGGUAUUACCUAAAGGAAGCCCUACAUCCCCCAAAGUAUCUUUUUUAUUUUUCAUUUUCUAGCAGCGAGACAACCGAAGAAGAAGAAAAGAACAGGAAAAAAAGAAAACAGCCUUCAAAAGUGCAUCAAAAAGGAACGAAACGAUGCUAUAUGCAUCUAUCAUCUGUCCAGAGUGAAGACGUUCUCGACUUCACAAGGACACGUUGGGAAACUUACAGAACUAGUAUUAGAAAGUGGCUUUCUCUACAGGGUGAGACAGAAGACCAGCCAGAAAUGUGUAGUGAAUUUUGAUUAUUAUUUGGUCUAACUAACUCCAAAAUGUUGGAAAAGAGUUCCUACAAAGGUUUUGGACAGUGAUUUUAACCCUAACGCCAAAAACCUUAAACCUUACCCUAGCCCCAAAACCUAAUACGCGGGUAUUACCUUCAGGAAGCCCGAAAACCCCAAAUGUUUUUUUUUCAUUUUUCAUUUUUUUUUUGGGGUAACUAACUCCAAAAGGUUGGAAAAGAGUUCCUACAAAGGUUUUGGACAGUGAUUUUAACCCUAACGCCAAAAACCUUAAACCUACCCUAGCCCCAUAACCUAAUACCCGGGUAAUACCUUCAGGAAGCCCGAAAACCCCAAAUAUUAUUUAUUCUUUUUUCUUUUUUUUUUGGUCUAACUACCUCCAAAAGGUUGGAAGAGUUCCUACAAAGGUUUUGGACAGUGAUUUUAACCCUAACGCCAAAAACCUUAAACCUUCCCCUGGCCCCAAAACCUAAUACCUUCAGGAAGCCCGAAAACCCCAAAUAUUUUUUUUCAUUUUUCAUUUUUUUUUUGGUCUAACUAACUCCAAAAGGUCUGAAACAUGUUCCUACAAAGGUUUUGGACAGUGAUUUUAACCCCAACGCCAAAAACCUUAAACCUACCCUAGCCCCAAAACCUAAUACCCGGGUAUUACCUUCAGGAAGCCCGAACACCCCAAAUAUUUUUUUUCAUUUUACAUUUUGUUUUGGUGUAACCAACCUCAAAAGAUCUGAAACAUGUUCCUAAAAAGGUUUUGGACAGUGAUUUUAGCCCUCACGCCAAAAACCUUAAAUCUUAUCAUAGCCCCAUAACCUAAUACGGGUAUUACCUUCAGGAAGCCCGAACACCCCAAAUAUUUUUUUUUUCAUUUUUCGUUAUUUUUUGGUCUAACUAACUCCAAAAUGUUGGAAAAGAGUUCCUACAAAGGUUUUGGACAGUGAUUUUGAGCCUAACGCCAAAAACCUUAAACCUUACCCUAGCCCCAAAACCUAAUACCUUCAGGAAGCCCGGAAACCCCAAAUUUUUUUUUUUCAUUUUUCAUUUUUUCUUUUUGGUGUAACUAACUCCAAAAGGUUGGAAAAGAGUUCCUACAAAGGUUUUGGACAGUGAUUAUAACCUAAACGCCAAAAACCUUAAACCUACCCAAGCCCCAUAACCUAUUACCUAGAUAUUACCUUCAGGAAGCCUGAAAACACCAAAUAUUUUUUUUUCAUUUUUCAUUUGUUUUUUUGUGUAACUAACUCCAAAAGGUUGGAAAAGAGUUCCUACAAAGGUUUUGGACAGUGAUUUUGACCCUAACGCCAAAAACGUUAAACCUUACCCUAGCCCCAAAACCUAAUACCUUCAGGAAGCCCGAAAACCCCAAAUAUUUUUUUUUCAUUUUUCAUUUUUUUUUUUGGUCUAACUAACUCCUAAAGGUUGGAAAAGAGUUCCUACAAAGGUUUUGGACAGUGAUUUUAACCCCAACGCCAAAAACCUUAAACCUACCCUACCCCCAUAACCUAAUAUUACCUUACCUUCAGGAAGCCUGAAAACCCCAAAUAUUUUUUUUCUUUUUUCUUUUUUUUUUUGGUCCAACUAACUCCAAAAGGUUGGAAAAGAGUUCCUACAAAGGUUUUGGACAGUGAUUUUAACCCUAACGCCAAAAACCUUAAACCUUACCCUAGCCCCAAAACCUAAUACCCGGGUAUUACCUUCAGGAAGUCCGAACACCCCAAAUAUUUUUUUUCAUUUUACAUUUUGUUUUGGUGUAACCAACCUCAAAAGGUCUGAAACAUGUUCCUAAAAAGGUUUUGGACAGUGAUUUUAGCCCUCACGCCAAAAACCUUAAAUCUUAUCAUAGCCCCAUAACCUAAUACCCGGGUAUUACCUUCAGGAAGCCCUAACACCCCAAAUAUUUUUUUUUUUCAUUUUUCUUUUUUUUUUUUUUGGUGUAACUAACUCCAAAAGGUUGGAAAAGAGUUCCUACAAAGGUUUUGGACAGUGAUUUUAACCCCAACGCAGAAAACCUUAAACCUACCCAAGCCCCAUAACCUAUUACCCGGGUAUUACCUUCAGGAAGCCCGAAAACCCCAAAUAUUUUUUUUCUUUGUUCUUUUUUUUUUUGGUCUAACUAACUCCAAAAGGUUGGAAAAGAGUUCCUACAAAGGUUUUGGACAGUGAUUUUAACCCCAACGCCAAAAACGUUAAACCUUACCCUAGCCCCAAAACCUAAUACCUUCAGGAAGCCCGAAAACCCCAAAUGUUUUUUUUCUUUUUUCUUUUUUCUGGUAUAACUAACUCCAAAAGGUUGGAAAAGAGUUCCUACAAAGGUUUUGAACAGUGAUUUUAACCCUAACGCCAAAAACCUAAGACCUUUCCAAAGUCCCAUAACCUAAUACCUGGGAAUUACCUUCAGGAAGCCCGAACACCCCAAAUAUUUUUGUUUCAUUGUUCAUUUUUUUUUGGUCUAACUAACUCCGAAAGGUUGGAAAAGAGUUCCUACAGAGGAUUUGGAUAGUGAUUUUGACCCUAAUGCCAAAAACCUUAAACCUUACCCUAGCCCCAAAACCCAAUACCCGGGUAUUACCUUCAGGAAGCCCGAAAACCCCAAAUAUUUUUUUUUCAUUUUUCAUUAUUAUUUGGUCUAACUAACUCCAAAAUGUUGGGAAAGAUUUCCUACAAAGGUUUUGGACAGUGAUUUUGACCCUAACGCCAAAAACGUUAAACCUUACCCUAGCCCCAAAAUCUUAUACCCGGGUAUUACCUUCAGGAAGCCUGAACACUCCAAAUAUUUUUUUUUUCAUUUUUCGUUAUUUUUUGGUCUAACUAACUCCAAAAGGUUGGAAAAGAGUUCCAAAAAAGGUUUUGGACAGUGAUUUUAACCCUAACGCCAAAAACCUUAAACCUUACCCUAGCCCCAUAACCUAAUACGGGUAUUACCUUCAGGAAGCCCGAAAACCCCAAAUAUAUUUUUUUCUUUUUUCUUUUUUUUUUGGUCUAACCAUCUCCAAAAGGUUGGAAAAGAGUUCCUACAAAGGUUUUGGACAGUGAUUUUAACCCUAACGCCAAAAACCUUAAACUUUACCCUAGCCCCAAAACCUAAUACGCGGGUAUUACCUUCAGGAAGCCCGAAAACCCAAAAUAUUUUUUUUUCAUUUUUCAUUAUUAUUUGGUGUAACUAACUCCUAAAGGUUGGAAAAGAGUUCCUACAAAGGUUUUGGACAGUUAUUUUAACCCUAACGCCAAAAACCUUAAACCUUCCCCUAGCCCCAUAACCGAAUACCCGUGUAAUACCUUCAGGAAGCCCGAAAACCCCAAAUAUUUUUUUUCUUUUUUCUUUUUUUUUUUUGGUCUAACUAAAUUCAAAAGGUUGGAAAAGAGUUCCUACAAAGGUUUUGGACAGUGAUUUUAACCCUAACGCCAAAAACCUUAAACCUUCCCCUAGCCCCAAAACCUAAUACCUUCAGGAAGCCCGAAAACACCAAAUAUUUUUUUUUCAUUUUUCAUUGUUUUUUUUGGUCUAACUAAAUCCAAAAGGUUGGAAAAGAGUUCCUACAAAGGUUUUGGACAGUGAUUUUAACCCUAACGCCAAAAACCUUAAACCUUCCCCUAGCCCCAAAACCUAAUACCUUCAGGAAGCCCGAAAACACCAAAUAUUUUUUUUCUUUUUUCUUUUUUUUUUGGUCUAACUAACUCCAAAAGGUUGGAAAAGAGUUCCUACAAAGGUUUUGGACAGUGAUUUUAACCCCAACGCAGAAAACCUUAAACCUACCCAAGCCCCAUAACCUAUUACCCGGAUAUUACCUUCAGGAAGCCUGAAAACACAAAAUAUAUUUUUUUUAUUUUUCAUUUUUUUUUGGUGUAACUAACUCCAAAAGGUUGGAAAAGAGUUCCUAAAAAGGUUUUGGACAGUGAUUUUGACCCUAACGCCAAAAACGUUAAACCUUACCCUAGCCCCAAAACCUAAUACCUUCAGGAAGCCCGAAAACCCCAAAUAUUUUUUUUUCAUUUUUCAUUUUUUUUUUGGUCUAACUAACUCCAAAAGGUUGGAAAAGAGUUCCUACAAAGGUUUUGGACAGUGAUUUUAACCCUAACGCCAAAAACCUUAAACCUUACCCUAGCCCCAAAACCUAUUACCUUCAGGAAGCCCGGAAACCCCAAAUAUUUUUUUUUCAUUUUUCUUUUUUUUUUUUUUGGUGUAACUAACUCCAAAAGGUUGGAAAAGAGUUCCUACAAAGGUUUUGGACAGUGAUUUUAACCCCAACGCAGAAAACCUUAAACCUACCCAAGCCCCAUAACCUAUUACCCGGGUAAUACCUUCAGGAAGCUCGAAAACCCCAAAUAUUUUUUUUCUUUGUUCUUUUUUUUUUUGGUCUAACUAACUCCAAAAGGUUGGAAAAGAGUUCCUACAAAGGUUUUGGACAGUGAUUUUGACCCUAACGCCAAAAACCUUAAACCUUACCAUAGCCCCAAAACCAAAUACCCGGGUAUUACCUUCAGGAAGCCCGAAUACCCCAAAUAUUUUUUUUUCAUUUUUCAUUAUUAUUUGGUCUAACUAACUCCAAAAGGUUGGAAAAGAGUUCCUACAAAGGUUUUGGACAGUGAUUUUAACCCUAACGCCAAAAACCUUAAACCUUUCCCUAGCCCCAAAACCUAAUACCCGGGUAUUACCUUCAGGAAGCCCGAGAACCCCAAAUAUUUUUUUUUUCUUUUUUUUUUGGUCUAACUUACUCCAAAAGGUUGGAAAAGAGUUUCUACAAAGAUUUUGGACAGUGAUUUUAACCCCAAUGCCAAAAACCUUAAACCUAACCUAGCCCCAUAUUUUUUUUCAUUUUACAUUUUGUUUUGGUGUAACCAACCUCAAAAGGUCUGAAACAUGUUCAUAAAAGGUUUUGGACAGUGAUUUUAGCCCUCAAGCCAAAAACCUUAAAUCUUACCAUAGCCCCAUAACCUAAUACAGGUAUUACCUUCAGGAAGCCCGAAUACCCCAAAUAUUUUUUUUUCAUUUUUCAUUUUUGUUUUUGGUGUAACUAACUCACAAAUGUUGGAAAAGAGUUCCUACAAAGGUUUUGGACAGUGAUUUUGACCCUAACGCCAAAAACCUUAAACCUUACCCUAGCCCCAUAACCUAUUACCUUCAGGAAGCCCGAAUACCCCAAAUAUUUUUUUUUUCAUUUUUCAUUAUUAUUUGGUCUAACUAACUCCAAAAGGUUGGAAAAGAGUUCCUACCAAGGUUUUGGACAGUGAUUUUACCCCAACGCCAAAAACCUUAAACCUAACCUAGCCCCAUAACCUAAUACCCGGGUAAUACCUUCAGGAAGCCGGAAAACCCCAAAUAUUUUUUUUCUUUUUUCUUUUUUUUUUUUUGGUCUAACUAACUCCAAAAGGUUGGAAAAGAGUUCCUACAAAGGUUUUGGACAGUGAUUUUAACCCUAACGCCAAAAACCUUAAACCUUCCCCUAGCCCCAAAACCUAAUACCUUCAGGAAGCCCGAAAACACCAAAUAUAUUUUUUUCAUUUUUCAUUGUUUUUUUUGGUCUAACUAACUCCAAAAGGUUGGAAAAGAGUUCCUACAAAGGUUUUGGACAGUGAUUUUAACCCUAACGCCAAAAACCUUAAACCUUCCCCUAGCCCCAAAACCUAAUACCUUCAGGAAGCCCGAAAACACCAAAUAUUUUUUUUUCAUUUUUCAUUGUUUUUUUUGGUCUAACUAACUCCAAAAGGUUGGAAAAGAGUUCCUACAAAGGUUUUGGACAGUGAUUUUAACCCUAACGCCAAAAACCUUAAACCUUACCCUAGCCCCAUGACCUAAUACCCGGGUAUUACCUUCAGGAAGCCCGAAAACCCCAAAUAUUUUUUUUCUUUUUUCUUUUUUUUUUGGUCUAACUAACUCCAAAAGGUUGGAAAAGAGUUCCUACAAAGGUUUUGGACAGUGAUUUUAACCCUAACGCCAAAAACCUUAAACCUUUACCAAAGCCCCAUAACCUAAUACCCGGGUAUUACCUUCAGGAAGCCCGAAAACCCAAAAUAUAUUUUUUUUAUUUUUCAUUUUUUUUUGGUGUAACUAACUCCAAAAGGUUGGAAAAGAGUUCCUACAAAGGUUUUGGACAGUGAUUUUAACCCUAACGCCAAAAACCUUAAACCUUCCCCUAGCCCCAAAACCUAAUACCUUCAGGAAGCCCGAAAACCCCAAAUAUAUUUUUUUCAUUUUUCAUUGUUUUUUUUGGUCUAACUAAAUCCAAAAGGUUGGAAAAGAGUUCCUACAAAGGUUUUGGACAGUGAUUUUAACCCUAACGCCAAAAACCUUAAACCUUCCCCUAGCCCCAAAACCUAAUACCUUCAGGAAGCCCGAAAACACCAAAUAUUUUUUUUUCAUUUUUCAUUGUUUUUUUUGGUCUAACUAAAUCCAAAAGGUUGGAAAAGAGUUCCUACAAAGGUUUUGGACAGUGAUUUUAACCCCAACGCCAAAAACCUUAAACCUACCCUAGCCCCAUGACCUAAUACCCGGGUAUUACCUUCAGGAAGCCCGAAAACCCCAAAUAUUUUUUUUUCUUUUUUCUUUUUUUUUUGGUCUAACCAUCUCCAAAAGGUUUGAAAAGAGUUCCUACAAAGGUUUUGGACAGUGAUUUUAACCCCAACACAGAAAACCUUAAACCUACCCAAGCCCCAUAACCUAUUACCCGGAUAUUACCUUCAGGAAGCCUGAAAACACAAAAUAUAUUUUUUUUAUUUUUCAUUUUUUUUUGGUGUAACUAACUCCAAAAGGUUGGAAAAGAGUUCCUAAAAAGGUUUUGGACAGUGAUUUUGACCCUAACGCCAAAAACCUUAAACCUUCCCCUCGCCCCAAAACCUAAUACCUUCAGGAAGCCCGAAAACCCCAAAUAUUUUUUUUUCAUUUUUCAUUUUUUUUUUGGUCUAACUAACUCCAAAAGGUUGGAAAAGAGUUCCUACAAAGGUUUUGGACAGUGAUUUUAACCCUAACGCCAAAAACCUUAAACCUUCCCCUAGCCCCAAAACCUAAUACCUUCAGGAAGCCCGGAAACCCCAAAUAUUUUUUUUUCAUUUUUCUUUUUUUUUUUUUUGGUGUAACUAACUCCAAAAGGUUGGAAAAGAGUUCCUACAAAGGUUUUGGACAGUGAUUUUAACCCCAACGCAGAAAACCUUAAACCUACCCAAGCCCCAUAACCUAAUACCCGGGUAUUACCUUCAGGAAGCCCGAAAACCCCAAAUAUUUUUUUUUCAUUUUUCUUUUUUUUUUUUUGGUGUAACUAACUCCAAAAGGUUGGAAAAGAGUUCCUACAAAGGUUUUGGACAGUGAUUUUGACCCUAACGCCAAAAACCUUAAACCUUACCAUAGCCCCAAAACCAAAUACCCGGGUAUUACCUUCAGGAAGCCCGAAUACCCCAAAUAUUUUUUUUUCAUUUUUCAUUAUUAUUUGGUCUAACUAACUCCAAAAGGUUGGAAAAGAGUUCCUACAAAGGUUUUGGACAGUGAUUUUAACCCUAACGCCAAAAACCUUAAACCUUUCCCUAGCCCCAAAACCUAAUACCCGGGUAUUACCUUCAGGAAGCCCGAACACCCCAAAUAUUUUUUUUUUCAUUUUUCGUUAUUUUUUGGUCUAACUAACUCCAAAAGGUCUGAAACAUGUUCCUUAAAAGGUUUUGGAUAGUGAUUUUAACCCUAACGCCAAAAACCUUAAACCUUACCCUAGCCCCAUAACCAAAUACCCGGGUAUUACCUUCAGGAAGCCCGAAAACCCCAAAUAUUUUUUUUUUCUUUUUUUUUUGGUCUAACUUACUCCAAAAGGUUGGAAAAGAGUUUCUACAAAGAUUUUGGACAGUGAUUUUAACCCCAAUGCCAAAUACCUUAAACCUAACCUAGCCCCAUAUUUUUUUUCAUUUUACAUUUUGUUUUGGUGUAACCAACCUCAAAAGGUCUGAAACAUGUUCAUAAAAGGUUUUGGACAGUGAUUUUAGCCCUCAAGCCAAAAACCUUAAAUCUUACCAUAGCCCCAUAACCUAAUACAGGUAUUACCUUCAGGAAGCCCGAAUACCCCAAAUAUUUUUUUUUCAUUUUUCAUUUUUGUUUUUGGUGUAACUAACUCACAAAUGUUGGAAAAGAGUUCCUACAAAGGUUUUGGACAGUGAUUUUGACCCUAACGCCAAAAACCUUAAACCUUACCCUAGCCCCAUAACCUAUUACCUUCAGGAAGCCCGAAUACCCCAAAUAUUUUUUUUUUCAUUUUUCAUUAUUAUUUGGUCUAACUAACUCCAAAAGGUUGGAAAAGAGUUCCUACCAAGGUUUUGGACAGUGAUUUUACCCCAACGCCAAAAACCUUAAACCUAACCUAGCCCCAUAACCUAAUACCCGGGUAAUACCUUCAGGAAGCCGGAAAACCCCAAAUAUUUUUCUUCUUUUUUCUUUUUUUUUUUUGGUCUAACUAACUCCAAAAGGUUGGAAAAGAGUUCCUACAAAGGUUUUGGACAGUGAUUUUAGCCCUCACGCCAAAAACCUUAAAUCUUACCAUAGCCCCAUAACCUAAUAUGGGUAUUACCUUCAGGAAGCCCAAAUACCCCAAAUAUUUCUUUUUCAUUUUUCAUUUUUUUUUUUGGUGUAACUAACUCCAAAAGGUUGGAAAAGAGUUCCUACAAAGGUUUUGGACAGUGAUUUUGACCCUAACGCCAAAAACGUUAAACCUUACCCUAUUCCCAAAACCUAAUACCUUCCGGAAGCCCGAAAACCCCAAUUUUUUUAGGGCCCGAGCGUAGCUGCUAAGCAGCUGCGAGAGCCCUAUUGUUCCUGUAUGGGUUUUUCUUUCUUCUUUCUUUCUUCUUCUUUUUCCUCCCCUUUGAACUGGAAAAUGGCCCACUUCCCACUGGCGAAAACUCAUGAAAUUUGGCAGGACGACCGGGCCUGGUGAAAAAUUCGAUAUUCUGAAGUCGCCCAAACAAUAAAAUGCAAAACGGCUCCAUAGCGCCCCCUAAGGUGAAAAUUCACACUAUUGACUGUCACGCCUGUACGCUUUGUCAUAUUGACACAAAAAUUGACACACAGAUGUAUCUCAAUAAGAUCUACAAAAAAGUCAGUGCGGGCGUAUCUGUCAAAUGUACGGUUAAAGGGUUAUUUCGCAUUUUUUGCAAAUCUGCACACAUUGGAAUUUCGCUAACUCCUCUGAAGGCUUUCGUUCCACUGGCACCACAUUUGCUCAGGCCAAUCUACACCCCAUGGCCAUUAAAAGUUGUACAAAUCAUGACGCUGCACCCCACGGUUUAGGUUCUAGGGGGCGCCAAAGAUAACCCAAAAAUCCACAGUCUUAAAAGUCUUAUAACUUUUUAUUUUUGUCCUCACUGGCCUCCAAGUUCUCUAGGAUGAUGCAAUGUCCAGCAAUUAACACAUUUGUGAAGGAAUUUUUACUCGCCAAAAGAGCGCCCCCCCAUGGCAGGAGAAAAAAGUCCAUUUUUUCUUGUCCCCUAAGGCGAAAAUACACAUUGUUGAGUGUCACGCCUGUACGCUUUGUCAUAUUGACACAAAAUUUGACAAUCAAGUGUAUCUCAAUAAGAUCUACGAAAAAGUCAAUGUGCGCGUAUCUGUAAAAUGUAUGGUUAAAGGGCUAUUUCGCAUUUUUUGCCGAUUCGCACACAUUGGAAUGUGGCUAACUCCUCCUAAAGCUUUCGUCCCACUGACACCACAUUUGCUCAGGCAAAUCUACACCCCAUGGCUAUUCAAAGUUGUAAAAAUCAUGACGCUGCACCCCACGGUUUACGUUCUAGGGGGCGCCAAAGAGGACCCAAAUAUCCACAUUUUUAAAAGUCUUAUAACUUUUUAUUUUUGUCCUCACUGGCCUCCAAGUUUUCUAGGAUGAUGCAAUGUCCAGCCAUCAGCACAUGUGUGAAGGAAUUUUUACUCCCUAAAAGAGCGCCCCCCCAUGGCAGGAGAAAAAAGUCCAUUGUUUCUUUACCCCUAAGGUAAAAAUACACAUUGUUGAGUGUCACACCUAUACGCUUUGUCAUAUUGACACAAAAUUUGACAAUCAAGUGUAUCUCAAUAAGAUCUACGAAAAAGUCAAUGCAGGCGUAUCUGUCAAAUGUACGGUUAAAGGGCUAUUUCGCAUUUUUUGCCAAUUCGCACACAUUUGAAUGUGGCUAACUCCUCCUAAAGCUUUCGUCCCAUCGGCACCAAAUUUGCUCAGGCCAAUCUACACCCCAUGGCCAUUCAAAGUUGUAAAAAUCAUGAUGCUGCACCCCACGGUUUACGUUCUAGGGGGCGCCAAAGAUAACCCAAAAAUCCACAUUUUCAAAAGUCUUAUAACUUUUUAUUUUUGUCCUCACUGGCCUCCAAGUUUUCUGGGAUAAUGCAAUGUUCAGCCAUCAACACAAUUGUGAAGGAAUUUUUACUCCCCAAAAGAGCGUCCCCCCAUGGCCGGAGAAAAAGUCAAGUUGUUCCUGCCCAUCGCUCAAUGGCUUAAACGCAUUGGUCUCUCGGCAAAACCGAAAGGAGGAGCAACUUGCCAUUUGGAUAUAUCUUAGCUGUGUUUGUGCCCUCACUCAUGUUCCAGACUUUUUUCAAAUAGGACAUGGAGUUUGUCUGCAGCGAGCGUUUUGGUAGAAACUGCGUUUCCCAUUCAUUAUAAUGGGAAAUGACCACAGACAAGUGCGCACACCAUCUUUGGACCUUGAGUGUGACGCGAUCGGGAGGGGUAGGCGGUCGCGCUGGGGGCGGCGCGACACGGCUCGGGCCCGCCAGUGCCCCAACGGGGCCCUAGUGUUUUUCUUUUUUCUUUUUUUUUUGGUCUAACUAUCUCCAAAAGGUUGGAAUAGAGUUCCUACAAAGGUUUUGGACAGUGAUUUUAACCCCAACGCCAAAAACCUUAAACCUUCCCCUAGCCCCAAAACCUAAUACAUUCAGGAAGCCCGAAAACCCCAAAUAUUUUUUUUUCAUUUUUCAUUUUUUUUUUGGUGUAACUAACUCCAAAAGGUUGGAAAAGAGUUCAUACAAAGGUUUUGGACAGUGAUUUUAACCCCAAUGCCAAAAACCUUAAACCUACCCUAGCCCCAUAACCUAAUUCCUGGGUAAUACCUUCAGGAAGCCCGAAAACCCCAAAUAUUUUUUUUCUUUUUUCUUUUAUUUUUGGUCUAACUAACUCCAAAAGGUUGGAAAAGAGUUCCUACAAAGGUUUUGGACAGUGAUUUUAACCCCAACGCCAAAAACCUUAAACCUACCCUAGCCCCAUAAACUAAUACCCGGGUAUUACCUUCAGGAAGCCCGAACACCCCAAAUAUUUUUUUUUUUCAUUUUUCGUUAUUUUUUGGUCCAACUAACUCCAAAAGGUCUGAAACAUGUUCCAAAAAAGGUUUUGGACAGUGAUUUUAACCCCAACGCCAAAAACCUUAAACCUACCCUAGCCCCAUAACCUAAUACCCGGGUAAUACCUUCAGGAAGCCCGAAAACCCCAAAUAUUUUUUUUCUUUUUUCUUUUUUUUUUGGUCUAACUAACUCCAAAAGGUUGGAAAAGAGUUCCUACAAAGUUUUGGACAGUGAUUUUAACCCUAACGCCAAAAACCUUAAACCAUCCCCUAUCCCAAAACCUAAUACCUUCAGGAAGCCCGAAAACCCCAAAUAUUUUAUUUUCAUUUUUCAUUUUUUUUUUUUUGGUGUAACUAACUCCAAAAGGUUGGAAAAGAGUUCCUACAAAGGUUUUGGACAGUGAUUUUAACCCCAACGCCAAAAACCUUAAACCUACCCUAGCCCCAUAACCUAAUACCCGGGUAAUACGUUCAGGAAGCCCGAAAACCCCAAAUUUUUUUUUUUCAUUUUUCAUUGUUUUUUUUCGGUGUAACUUACUCCAAAAGGUUGGAAAAGAGUUCCUACAAAGGUUUUGGACAGUGAUUUUAACCCUAACGCCAAAAACAUUAAACCUUACCCUAGCCCCAAAACCUAAUACGCGGGUAUUACCUUCAGGAAGCCCGAAAACCCCAAAUAUUUAUUUUCAUUUUUCAUUAUUAUUUGGUCUAACUAACUCCAAAAUGUUGGAAAAGAGUUCCUACAAAGGUUUUGGACAGUGAUUUUAACCCUAACGCCAAAAACCUUAAAACUUCCCCUAGCCCCAAAACCUAAUACCCGGGUAAUACCUUCAGGAAGCCCGAAAACCCCAAAUAUUUUUUUUUCAUUUUUCAUUGUUUUUUUUCGGUCUAACUUACUCCAAAAGGUUGGAAAAGAGUUCCUACAAAGGUUUUGGACUGUGAUUUUAACCCCAACGCCAAAAGCCUUAAACCUACCCUAGCCCCAUAACCUAAUACCUUUAGGAAGCCCGAAAACCCCAAAUAUUUUUUUUUCAUUUUUAAUUAUUAUUUGGUCUAACUAACUCCAAAAUGUUGGAAAAGAGUUCCUACAAAGGUUUUGGACAGUGAUUUUAACCCUAACGCCAAAAACCUUAAACCUUCCUGUAGCCCCAAAACCUAAUACCUUCAGGAAUCCCGAAAACCCCAAAUAUUUUUUUUUCAUUUUUCAUUGUUUUUUUUGGUGUAACUAUCUCAAAAAGGUUGGAAAAGAGUUCCUACAAAGGUUUUGGACAGUGAUUUUAACCCCAACGCCAAAAACGUUAAACCUACCCUAGCCCCAUAACCUAAUAUCGGGUAAUACCUUCAGGAAGCCCGAAAACCCCAAAUAUUUUUUUUCUUUUUAUUUUGGUCUAACUAACUCCAAAAGGUUGGAAAAGAGUUCCUACAAAGGUUUUGGACAGUGAUUUUAACCCUAACGCCAAAAACAUUAAACCUUACCCUAGCCCCAAAACCUAAUAUCGGGUAAUACCUUCAGGAAGCCCGAAAACCCCAAAUAUUUUUUUUUCAUUUUUCAUUAUUAUUUGGUCUAACUAACUCCAAAAUGUUGGAAAAGAGUUCCUACAAAGGUUUUGGACAGUGAUUUUAACCCUAACGCCAAAAACCUUAAACCUUCCCCUAGCCCCAAAACCUAAUACCCGGGUAAUACCUUCAGGAAGCCCGAAAACCCCAAAUAUUUUUUUUUCAUUUUUCAUUGUUUUUUUUCGGUCUAACUUACUCCAAAAGGUUGGAAAAGAGUUCCUACAAAGGUUUUGGACUGUGAUUUUAACCCUAACGCCAAAAACCUUAAACCAUCCCCUAUCCCAAAACCUAAUACCUUCAGGAAGCCCGAAAACCCCAAAUAUUUUAUUUUCAUUUUUCUUUUUUUUUUUUUUUGGUGUAACUAACUCCAAAAGGUUGGAAAAGAGUUCCUACAAAGGUUUUGGACAGUGAUUUUAACCCCAACGCCAAAAACCUUAAACCUACCCUAGCCCCAUAACCUAAUACCCGGGUAAUACGUUCAGGAAGCCCGAACACCCCAAAUAUUUUUUUUUUUUCAUUUUUCGUUAUUUUUUGGUCUAACUAACUCCAAAAGGUCUGAAACAUGUUCCUUAAAAGGUUUUGGACAGUGAUUUUAACCCUAACGCCAAAAACCUUAAACCUUACCCUAGCCCCAUAACCUAAUACCCGGGUAUUACCUUCAGGAAGCCCGAAAACCCCAAAUAUUUUUUUUCAUUUUUCAUUUUUUUUAUUUUUUGGUGUAACUAACUCCAAAAGGUUGGAAAAGAGUUCCUACAAAGGUUUUGGACAGUGAUUUUGAGCCUAACGCCAAAAACCUUAAACCUUACCAUAGCCCCAAAACCAAAUACCCAGGUAUUACCUUCAGGAAGCCCGAAUACCCCAAAUAUUAUUUUUUCAUUUUUCAUUAUUAUUUGGUCUAACUAACUCCAAAAGGUUGGAAAAGAGUUCCUACAAAGGUUUUGGACAGUGAUUUUAACCCUAACGCCAAAAACCUUAAACCUUUCCCUAGCCCCAAAACCUAAUACCCGGGUAUUACCUUCAGGAAGCCCGAAAACCCCAAAUAUUUUUUUUCUUUUCUUUUUUUUUUGGUCUAACUUACUCCAAAAGGUCUGAAACAUGUUCCUAAAAAGGUUUUGGACAGUGAUUUUAACCCUAACGCCAAAAACCUUAAACCUUAAACCUUACCCUAGCCCCAUAACCUUUCGGAAGCCCGAAAACCCCAAAUAUUUUUUUUUCUUUUCUUUUUUUUUUUUGGUCUAACUAACUCCAAAAGGUUGGAAAAGAGUUCCUACAAAGGUUUUGGACAGUGAUUUUGACCCUAACGCCAAAAACCUUAAACCUUUCCCUAGCCCCAAAACCUAAUACCCGGGUAUUACCUUCAGGUAGCCCGAAAACCCCAAAUAUUUUUUUCUUUUCUUUUUUUUUUUGGUCUAACUUACUCCAAAAGGUCUGAAACAUGUUCCUAAAAGGUUUUGGACAGUGAUUUUAACCCUAACGCCAAAAACCUUAAACCUUAAACCUUACCCUAGCCCCAUAACCUUUCGGAAGCCCGAAAACCCCAAAUAUUUUUUUUCUUUUCUUUUUUUUUUUGUCUAACUAACUCCAAAAGGUUGGAAAAGAGUUCCUACAAAGGUUUUGGACAGUGAUUUUGACCCUAACGCCAAAAACCUUAAACCUUACCAUAGCCCCAAAACCAAAUACCCGGGUAUUACCUUCAGGAAGCCCGAAUACCCCAAAUAUUUUUUUUUCAUUUUUCAUUAUUAUUUGGUCUAACUAACUCCAAAAGGUUGGAAAAGAGUUCCUACAAAGGUUUUGGACAGUAAUUUUAACCCUAACGCCAAAAACCUUAAACCUUUUCCUAGCCCCAUAACCUAAUACCCGGGUAUUACCUUCAGGAAGCCCGAAUACCCCAAAUAUUUUUUUUUCAUUUUUCAUUAUUAUUUGGUCUAACUAACUCCAAAAGGUUGGAAAAGAGUUCCUACAAAGGUUUUGGACUGUGAUUUUGAGCCUAACGCCAAAAACCUUAAACCUUACCAUAGCCCCAAAACCAAAUACCCGGGUAUUACCUUCAGGAAGCCCGAAUACCCCAAAUAUUUUUUUUUCAUUUUUCAUUAUUAUUUGGUCUAACUAACUCCAAAAGGUUGGAAAAGAGUUCCUACAAAGGUUUUGGACAGUGAUUUUAACCCUAACGCCAAAAACCUUAAACCUUUCCCUAGCCCCAAAACCUAAUACCCGGGUAUUACCUUCAGGAAGCCCGAAAACCCCAAAUAUUUUUUUUCUUUUCUUUUUUUUGGUCUAACUUACUCCAAAAGGUCUGAAACAUGUUCCUAAAAAGGUUUUGGACAGUGAUUUUAACCCUAACACCAAAAACCUUAAACCUUACCCUAGCCCCAUAACCUAAUACCCGGGUAUUACCUUCAGGAAGCCCGAAAACCCCAAAUAUUUUUUUUUCUUUUCUUUUUUUUUUUUUGGUCUAACUAACUCCAAAAGGUUGGAAAAGAGUUCCUACAAAGGUUUUGGACAGUGAUUUUGACCCUAACGCCAAAAACGUUAAACCUUACCUUAGCCCCAAAACGUAAUACGGGUAUUACCUUCAGGAAGCCCGAAGACCCCAAGUAUUUUUUUUUUCAUUUUUCGUUAUUUUUUUGGUCUAACUAACUCCAAAAGGUCUGAAACAUGUUCCAAAAAAGGUUUUGGACAGUGAUUUUAACCCUAACGGCAAAAACCUUAAACCUUACCCUAGCCCCAUAACCUAAUACGGGUAUUACCUUCAGGAAGCCGGAAAACCCCAAAUAUUUUUUUUUCUAUUUUCUUUUUUUUUGGUCUAACCAUCUCCAAAAGGUUUGAAAAGAGUUCCUACAAAGGUUUUGGACAGUGAUUUUAACCCUAACGCCAAAAACCUUAAACCUUCCCCUAGCCCCAUAACCUAAUACCCGGGUAAUACCUUCAGGAAGCCCGAAAACCCCAAAUAUUUUUUUUCUUUGUUCUUAUUUUUUUGGUCUAACUAACUCCAAAAGGUUGGAAAAGAGUUCCUACAAAGGUUUUGGACAGUGAUUUUGACCCUAACGCCAAAAACCUUAAACCUUACCCUAGCCCCAAAACCAAAUACCCGGGUAUUACCUUCAGGAAGCCCGAAAACCCCAAAUAUUUUUUUUUCAUUUUUCAUUAUUAUUUGGUCUAACUAACUCCAAAAGGUUGGAAAAGAGUUCCUACAAAGGUUUUGGACAGUGAUUUUAACCCUAACGCCAAAAACCUUAAACCUUUCCCUAGCCCCAAAACCUAAUACCCGGGUAUUACCUUCAGGAAGCCCGAAAACCCCAAAUAUUUUUUUUCUUUUCUUUUUUUUGGUCUAACUUACUCCAAAAGGUUGGAAAAGAGUUCCUACAAAGGUUUUGGACAGUGAUUUUGACCCUAACGCCAAAAACCUUAAACCUUACCCUAGCCCCAAAACCAAAUACCCGGGUAUUACCUUCAGGAAGCCCGAAAACCCCAAAUAUUUUUUUCAUUUUUUUUAUUUUUGGUCUAACUAACUCCAAAAGGUUGGAAAAGAGUUCCUACAAAGGUUUUGGACAGUGAUUUUAACCCUAACGCCAAAAACCUUAAACCUUACCCUAGCCCCAAAACCUAAUACCCGGGUAUUACCUUCAGGAAGCCCGAAAACCCCAAAUAUUUUUUUUUCUUUUCUUUUUUUUUUGGUCUAACUAACUCCAAAAGGUUGGAAAAGAGUUCCUACAAAGGUUUUGGACAGUGAUUUUAACCCUAACGCCAAAAACCUUAAACCUUACCCUAGCCCCAUAACCAAAUACCCGGGUAUUACCUUCAGGAAGCCUGAAAACCCCAAAUAUUUUUUUUUCUUUUUUUUUUUGGUCUAACUUACUCCAAAAGGUUGCAAAAGAGUUUCUACAAGGGUUUUGGACAGUGAUUUUAACCCCAACGCCAAAAACCUUAAACCUUACCCUAGCCCCAAAACCUAACACGCGGGUAUUACCUUCAGGAAGCCCGAAAACCCCAAAUAUUUUUUUUUCUUUUCUUUUUUUUUUUGGUCUAACUUACUCCAAAAGGUCUGAAACAUGUUCCUUAAAAGGUUUUGGACAGUGAUUUUAACCCUAACGCCAAAAACCUUAAACCUUUCCCUAGCCCCAAAACCUAAUACCCGGGUAUUACCUUCAGGAAGCCCGAAAACCCCAAAUAUUUUUUUUUCUUUUCUUUUUUUUUUUGGUCUAACUAACUCCAAAAGGUUGGAAAAGAGUUCCUACAAAGGUUUUGGACAGUGAUUUUAACCCUAACGCCAAAAACCUUAAACCUUACCCUAGCCCCAUAACCAAAUACCCGGGUAUUACCUUCAGGAAGCCCGAAAACCCCAAAUAUUUUUUUUUCUUUUUUUUUUGGUCUAACUUACUCCAAAAGGUUGGAAAAGAGUUUCUACAAGGGUUUUGGACAGUGAUUUUAACCCCAACGCCAAAAACCUUAAACCUUACCCUAGCCCCAAAACCUAAUACGCGGGUAUUACCUUCAGGAAGCCCGAAAACCCCAAAUAUUUUUUUUUUCAUUUUUUAUAAUUUUUUUGGUGUAACUAUCUCCAAAAUGUUGGGAAAGAGUUCCUACAAAGGUUUUGGACAGUGAUUUUAACCCUAACGCCAAAAACCUUAAACCUUCCCCUAGCCCCAAAACCUAAUACCUUCAGGAAGCCCGAAAACCCCAAAUAUUUUUUUUUCAUUUUUCAUUUUUUUUUGGUCUAACUAACUCCAAAAGGUUGGAAAAGAGUUCCUAAAAAGGUUUUGGACAGUGAUUUUGACCCUAACGCCAAAAACCUUAAACCUUACCCUAGCCCCAAAACCUAAUACCCGGGUAUUUCCUUCAGGAAGCCCGAACACCCCAAAUAUAUUUUUUUUCAUUUUUCGUUAUUUUUUGGUCUAACUAACUCCAAAAGGUCUGAAACAUGUUCCUUAAAAGGUUUUGGACAGUGAUUUUAACCCUAACGCCAAAAACCUUAAACCUUACCCUAGCCCCAUAACCUAAUACCCGGGUAUUACCUUCAGGAAGCCCGAAAACCCCAAAUAUUUUUCUUCUUUUUUCUUUUUUUUUUUUGGUCUAACUAACUCCAAAAGGUUGGAAAAGAGUUCCUACAAAGGUUUUGGACAGUGAUUUUAGCCCUCACGCCAAAAACCUUAAAUCUUACCAUAGCCCCAUAACCUAAUAUGGGUAUUACCUUCAGGAAGCCCAAAUACCCCAAAUAUUUCUUUUUCAUUUUUCUUUUUUUUUUUUGGUGUAACUAACUCCAAAAGGUUGGAAAAGAGUUCCUACAAAGGUUUUGGACAGUGAUUUUGACCCUAACGCCAAAAACGUUAAACCUUACCCUAUUCCCAAAACCUAAUACCUUCCGGAAGCCCGAAAACCCCAAUUUUUUUAGGGCCCGAGCGUAGCUGCUAAGCAGCUGCGACAGCCCUAUUGUUCCUGUAUGGGUUUUUCUUUCUUCUUUCUUUCUUCUUCUUUUUCCUCCCCUUUGAACUGGAAAAUGGCCCACUUCCCACUGGCGAAAACUCAUGAAAUUUGGCAGGACGACCGGGCCUGGUGAAAAAUUCGAUAUUCUGAAGUCGCCCAAACAAUAAAAUGCAAAACGGCUCCAUAGCGCCCCCUAAGGUGAAAAUUCACACUAUUGACUGUCACGCCUGUACGCUUUGUCAUAUUGACACAAAAAUUGACACACAGAUGUAUCUCAAUAAGAUCUACAAAAAAGUCAGUGCGGGCGUAUCUGUCAAAUGUACGGUUAAAGGGUUAUUUCGCAUUUUUUGCAAAUCUGCACACAUUGGAAUUUCGCUAACUCCUCUGAAGGCUUUCGUUCCACUGGCACCACAUUUGCUCAGGCCAAUCUACACCCCAUGGCCAUUAAAAGUUGUACAAAUCAUGACGCUGCACCCCACGGUUUAGGUUCUAGGGGGCGCCAAAGAUAACCCAAAAAUCCACAGUCUUAAAAGUCUUAUAACUUUUUAUUUUUGUCCUCACUGGCCUCCAAGUUCUCUAGGAUGAUGCAAUGUCCAGCAAUUAACACAUUUGUGAAGGAAUUUUUACUCGCCAAAAGAGCGCCCCCCCCCAUGGCAGGAGAAAAAAGUCCAUUUUUUCUUGUCCCCUAAGGCGAAAAUACACAUUGUUGAGUGUCACGCCUGUACGCUUUGUCAUAUUGACACAAAAUUUGACAAUCAAGUGUAUCUCAAUAAGAUCUACGAAAAAGUCAAUGUGCGCGUAUCUGUAAAAUGUAUGGUUAAAGGGCUAUUUCGCAUUUUUUGCCGAUUCGCACACAUUGGAAUGUGGCUAACUCCUCCUAAAGCUUUCGUCCCACUGACACCACAUUUGCUCAGGCAAAUCUACACCCCAUGGCUAUUCAAAGUUGUAAAAAUCAUGACGCUUCACCCCACGGUUUACGUUCUAGGGGGCGCCAAAGAGGACCCAAAUAUCCACAUUUUUAAAAGUCUUAUAACUUUUUAUUUUUGUCCUCACUGGCCUCCAAGUUUUCUAGGAUGAUGCAAUGUCCAGCCAUCAGCACAUGUGUGAAGGAAUUUUUACUCCCUAAAAGAGAGCCCCCCCAUGGCAGGAGAAAAAAGUCCAUUGUUUCUUUACCCCUAAGGUAAAAGUACACAUUGUUGAGUGUCACACCUAUACGCUUUGUCAUAUUGACACAAAUUUUGACAAUCAAGUGUAUCUCAAUAAGAUCUACGAAAAAGUCAAUGCAGGCGUAUCUGUCAAAUGUUCGGUUAAAGGGCUAUUUCGCAUUUUUUGCCAAUUCGCACACAUUUGAAUGUGGCUAACUCCUCCUAAAGCUUUCGUCCCAUCGGCACCAAAUUUGCUCAGGCCAAUCUACACCCCAUGGCCAUUCAAAGUUGUAAAAAUCAUGAUGCUGCACCCCACGGUUUACGUUCUAGGGGGCGCCAAAGAUAACCCAAAAAUCCACAUUUUCAAAAGUCUUAUAACUUUUUAUUUUUGUCCUCACUGGCCUCCAAGUUUUCUGGGAUAAUGCAAUGUUCAGCCAUCAACACAAUUGUGAAGGAAUUUUUACUCCCCAAAAGAGCGUCCCCCCAUGGCCGGAGAAAAAGUCAAGUUGUUCCUGCCCAUCGCUCAAUGGCUUAAACGCAUUGCUCUCUCGGCAAAACCGAAAGGAGGAGCAACUUGCCAUUUGGAUAUAUCUUAGCUGUGUUUGUGCCCUCACUCAUGUUCCAGACUUUUUUCAAAUAGGACAUGGAGUUUGUCUGCAGCGAGCGUUUUGGUAGAAACUGCGCCUCCAAUUCAUUAUAAUGGGAAAUGACCACAGACAAGUGCGCACACCAUCUUUGGACCUUGAGUGUGACGCGAUCGGGAGGGGUAGGCGGUCGCGCUGGGGGCGGCGCGACACGGCUCGGGCCCGCCAGUGCCCCAACGGGGCCCUAGUGUUUUUCUUUUUUUUUUUUUUUUGGUCUAACUAUCUCCAAAAGGUUGGAAUAGAGUUCCUACAAAGGUUUUGGACAGUGAUUUUAACCCCAACGCCAAAAACCUUAAACCUUCCCCUAGCCCCAAAACCUAAUACAUUCAGGAAGCCCGAAAACCCCAAAUAUUUUUUUUUCAUUUUUCAUUUUUUUUUUGGUGUAACUAACUCCAAAAGGUUGGAAAAGAGUUCAUACAAAGGUUUUGGACAGUGACUUUAACCCCAAUGCCAAAAACCUUAAACCUACCCUAGCCCCAUAACCUAAUUCCUGGGUAAUACCUUCAGGAAGCCCGAAAACCCCAAAUAUUUUUUUUCUUUUUUCUUUUAUUUUUGGUCUAACUAACUCCAAAAGGUUGGAAAAGAGUUCCUACAAAGGUUUUGGACAGUGAUUUUAACCCCAACGCCAAAAACCUUAAACCUACCCUAGCCCCAUAAACUAAUACCCGGGUAUUACCUUCAGGAAGCCCGAACACCCCAAAUAUUUUUUUUUUUCAUUUUUCGUUAUUUUUUGGUCCAACUAACUCCAAAAGGUCUGAAACAUGUUCCAAAAAAGGUUUUGGACAGUGAUUUUAACCCUAACGCCAAAAACCUUAAACCUACCCUAGCCCCAUAACCUAAUACCCGGGUAAUACCUUCAGGAAGCCCGAAAACCCCAAAUAUUUUUUUUCUUUUUGCUUUUUUUUUUGGUCUAACUAACUCCAAAAGGUUGGAAAAGAGUUCCUACAAAGUUUUGGACAGUGAUUUUAACCCUAACGCCAAAAACCUUAAACCAUCCCCUAUCCCAAAACCUAAUACCUUCAGGAAGCCCGAAAACCCCAAAUAUUUUAUUUUCAUUUUUCAUUUUUUUUUUUUUUUGGUGUAACUAACUCCAAAAGGUUGGAAAAGAGUUCCUACAAAGGUUUUGGACAGUGAUUUUAACACCAACGCAGAAAACCUUAAACCUACCCAAGCCCCAUAACCUAAUACCCGGGUAAUACCUUCAGGAAGCCCGAAAACCCCAAAUUUUUUUUUUUAUUUUUCAUUUUUUUUUGGUCUAACUUACUCCAAAAGGUUGGAAAAGAGUUCCUACAAAGGUUUUGGACAGUGAUUUUAACCCCAACGCCAAAAACAUUAAACCUUACCCUAGCCCCAAAACCAAAUACGCGGGUAUUACCUUCACGAAGCCCGAAAACCCCAAAUAUUUUUUUUGCAUUUUUCAUUAUUAUUUGGUCUAACUAACUCCAAAAUGUUGGGAAAGAGUUCCUACAAAGGUUUUGGACAGUGAUUUUAACCCUAACACCAAAAACCUUAAACCUUCCCCUAGCCCCAAAACCUAAUACCUUCAGGAAGCCCGAAAACCCCAAAUAUUUUUUCUUCAUUUUUCAUUUUUUAUUGGUCUAACUAACUCCAAAAGGUUGGAAAAGAGUUCCUACAAAGGUUUUGGACAGUGAUUUUGACCCUAACGCCAAAAACGUUAAACCUUACCUUAGCCCCAAAACGUAAUACGGGUAUUACCUUCAGGAAGCCCGAAAACCCCAAAUUUUUUUUUUCUUUUUUCUUUUUUUUUGGUCUAACCAUCUCCAAAAGGUUGGAAAAGAGUUCCUACAAAGAUUUUGGACAGUGAUUUUAACCCUAAUGCCAAAAACCUUAAACCUUCCCCUAGCCCCAAAACCUAAUACCCGGGUAAUACCUUCAGGAAGCCGAAAACCCCAAAUUUUUUUUUUUCAUUUUUCAUUGUUUUUUUUCGGUGAAACUUACUCCAAAAGGUUGGAAAAGAGUUCCUACAAAGGUUUUGGACAGUGAUUUUAACCCUAACGCCAAAAACCUUGGACCUUACCCUAGCCCCAUAACCUAAUACCCGGGUAUUACCUUCAGGAAGCCCGAAAACCCCAAAUACUUUUUUUCUUUUUUCUUUUUUUUUUGGUCUAACUAACUCCAAAAGGUUGGAAAAGAGUUCCUACAAAGGUUUUGGACAGUGAUUUUGACCCAAACGCCAAAAACCUUAAACCUUACCAUAGCCCGAAAACCAAAUACCCGGGUAUUACCUUCAUGAAGCCCGAAUACCCCAAAUAUUUUUUUUUCAUUUUUCAUUAUUAUUUGGUCUAACUAACUCCAAAAGGUUGGAAAAGAGUUCCUACAAAGGUUUUGGACAGUGAUUUUGACCCCAACGCCAAAAACCUUAAACCUACCGUAGCCCCAAAACCUAAUACGCGGGUAUUACCUUCAGGAAGCCCGAACACCCCAAAUAUUUUUUUUUCAUUUUUCGUUAUUUUUUGGUCUUACUAACUGCAAAAGGUCUGAAACAUGUUCCUAAAAAGGUUUUGGACAGUGAUUUUAACCCUAACGCCAAAAACCUUAAACCUUUCCCUAGCCCCAAAACCUAAUACCCGGGUAUUACCUUCAGGAAGCCCGAAAACCCCAAAUAUUUUUUUUUCUUUUCUUUUUUAUUUUUUGGUCUAACUUACUCCAAAAGGUCUGAAACAUGUUCCUUAAAAGGUUUUGGACAGUGAUUUUAACCCUAACGCCAAAAACCUUAAACCUUACCCUAGCCCCAUAACCUAAUACCCGGGUAUUACCUUCAGGAAGCCCGAAAACCCCAAAUAUUUUUUUUCUUUUCUUUUUUUUUUUGGUCUAACUUACUCCAAAAGGUUGGAAAAGAGUUCCUACAAAGGUUUUGGACAGUGAUUUUAACCCCAACGCCAAAAACAUUAAACCUUACCCUAGCCCCAAAACCAAAUACGCGGGUAUUACCUUCACGAAGCCCGAAAACCCCAAAUAUUUUUUUCUUUUUUCUUUUUUUUUUGGUCUAACUAACUCCAAAAGGUUGGAAAAGAGUUCCUACAAAGGUUUUGGACAGUGAUUUUGACCCUAACGCCAAAAACCUUAAACCUUACCAUAGCCCGAAAACCAAAUACCCGGGUAUUACCUUCAGGAAGCCCGAAUACCCCAAAUAUUUUUUUUUCAUUUUUCAUUAUUAUUUGGUCUAACUAACUCCAAAAGGUUGGAAAAGAGUUCCUACAAAGGUUUUGGACAGUGAUUUUGACCCCAACGCCAAAAACCUUAAACCUACCGUAGCCCCAAAACCUAAUACGCGGGUAUUACCUUCAGGAAGCCCGAAAACCCCACAUAUUUUUUUUUCAUUUUUCAUUAUUAUUUAGUCUAACUUACUCCAAAAGGUUGGAAAAGAGUUCCUACAAAAGUUUUGGACAGUGAUUUUAACCCUAACGCCAAAAACGUUAAACCUUCCCCUAGCCCCAAAACCUAAUACGUGGGUAUUACCUUCAGGAAUCCCAAAAACCCCAAAUAUUUUUUUUCUUUUUUCUUUUUUUUUUGGUCUAACUAACUCCAAAAGGUUGGAAAAGAGUUCCUACAAAGGUUUUGGACAGUGAUUUUGACCCUAACGCCAAAAACCUUAAACCUUACCAUAGCCCGAAAACCAAAUACCCGGGUAUUACCUUCAGGAAGCCGGAAUACCCCAAAUAUUUUUUUUUUCAUUUUUCAUUAUUAUUUGGUCUAACUAACUCCAAAAGGUUGGAAAAGAGUUCCUACAAAGGUUUUGGACAGUGAUUUUAUCCCUAACGCCAAAAACCUUAAACCUUUCCCUAGCCCCAAAACCUAAUACCCGGGUAUUACCUUCAGGAAGCCCGAACACCCCAAAUAUUUUUUUUUUCAUUUUUCGUUAUUUUUUGGUCUUACUAACUCCAAAAGGUCUGAAACAUGUUCCUAAAAAGGUUUUGGACAGUGAUUUUAACCCUAACGCCAAAAACCUUAAACCUUUCCCUAGCCCCAAAACCUAAUACCCGGGUAUUACCUUCAGGAAGCCCGAAAACCCCAAAUAUUUUUUUUUCUUUUCUUUUUUAUUUUUUGGUCUAACUUACUCCAAAAGGUCUGAAACAUGUUCCUUAAAAGGUUUUGGACAGUGAUUUUAACCCUAACGCCAAAAACCUUAAACCUUACCAUAGCCCGAAAACCAAAUACCCGGGUAUUACCUUCAGGAAGCCCGAAUACCCCAAAUAUUUUUUUUUUCAUUUUUCAUUAUUAUUUGGUCUAACUAACUCCAAAAGGUUGGAAAAGAGUUCCUACAAAGGUUUUGGACAGUGAUUUUAACCCCAACGCCAAAAACCUUAAACCUUACCCUAGCCCCAUAACCUAAUACCCAGGUAUUACCUUCAGGAAGCCCGAAAACCCCAAAUAUUUUUUUCUUUUUUCUUUUUUUUUGGUCUAACUAACUCCAAAAGGUUGGAAAAGAGUUCCUACAAAGGUUUUGGACAGUGAUUUUGACCCUAACGCCAAAAACCUUAAACCUUACCAUAGCCCGAAAACCAAAUACCCGGGUAUUACCUUCAGGAAGCCCGAAUACCCCAAAUAUUUUUUUUUCAUUUUUCAUUAUUAUUUGGUCUAACUAACUCCAAAAGGUUGGAAAAGAGUUCCUACAAAGGUUUUGGACAGUGAUUUUGACCCCAACGCCAAAAACCUUAAACCUACCGUAGCCCCAAAACCUAAUACGCGGGUAUUACCUUCAGGAAGCCCGAAAACCCCAAAUAUUUUUUUUUCAUUUGUCAUUAUUAUUUUGUCUAACUUACUCCAAAAGGUUGGAAAAGAGUUCCUACAAAAGUUUUGGACAGUGAUUUUAACCCUAACGCCAAAAACCUUAAACCUUCCCCUAGCCCCAAAACCUAAUACGUGGGUAUUACCUUCAGGAAUCCCAAAAACCCAAAAUAUUUUUUUUCUUUUUUCUUUUUUUUUUUUGGUUUAACUAACUCCAAAAGGUUGGAAAAGAGUUCCUACAAAGGUUUUGGACAGUGAUUUUGACCCUAACGCCAAAAACCUUAAACCUUACCAUAGCCCGAAAACCAAAUACCCGGGUAUUACCUUCAGGAAGCCCGAAUACCCCAAAUAUUUUUUUUUUCAUUUUUCAUUAUUAUUUGGUCUAACUAACUCCAAAAGGUUGGAAAAGAGUUCCUACAAAGGUUUUGGACAGUGAUUUUAUCCCUAACGCCAAAAACCUUAAACCUUUCCCUAGCCCCAAAACCUAAUACCCGGGUAUUACCUUCAGGAAGCCCGAACACCCCAAAUAUUUUUUUUUCUUUUCUUUUUUAUUUUUUGGUCUAACUUACUCCAAAAGGUCUGAAACAUGUUCCUUAAAAGGUUUUGGACAGUGAUUUUAACCCUAACGCCAAAAACCUUAAACCUUACCCUAGCCCCAUAACCUAAUACCCGGGUAUUACCUUCAGGAAGCCCGAAAACCCCAAAUAUUUUUUUUUCUUUUCUUUUUUUUUUUGGUCUAACUUACUCCAAAAGGUUGGAAAAGAGUUCCUACAAAGGUUUUGGACAGUGAUUUUAACCCCAACGCCAAAAACAUUAAACCUUACCCUAGCCCCAAAACCAAAUACGCGGGUAUUACCUUCACGAAGCCCGAAAACCCCAAAUAUUUUUUUUUCAUUUUUCAUUGUUUUUUUCGGUGAAACUUACUCCAAAAGGUUGGAAAAGAGUUCCUACAAAGGUUUUGGACAGUGAUUUUAACCCCAACGCCAAAAACCUUAAACCUUACCCUAGCCCCAUAACCUAAUACCCGGGUAUUACCUUAAGGAAGCCCGAAAACCCCAAAUAUUUUUUUCUUUUUUCUUUCUUUUUUGGUCUAACUAACUCCAAAAGGUUGGAAAAGAGUUCCUACAAAGGUUUUGGACAGUGAUUUUGACCCUAACGCCAAAAACCUUAAACCUUACCAUAGCCCGAAAACCAAAUACCCGGGUAUUACCUUCAGGAAGCCCGAAUACCCCAAAUAUUUUUUUUUCAUUUUUCAUUAUUAUUUGGUCUAACUAACUCCAAAAGGUUGGAAAAGAGUUCCUACAAAGGUUUUGGACAGUGAUUUUGACCCCAACGCCAAAAACCUUAAACCUACCGUAGCCCCAAAACCUAAUACGCGGGUAUUACCUUCAGGAAGCCCGAAAACCCCACAUAUUUUUUUUUCAUUUUUCAUUAUUAUUUAGUCUAACUUACUCCAAAAGGUUGGAAAAGAGUUCCUACAAAAGUUUUGGACAGUGAUUUUAACCCUAACGCCAAAAACCUUAAACCUUCCCCUAGCCCCAAAACCUAAUACGUGGGUAUUACCUUCAGGAAUCCCAAAAACCCCAAAUAUUUUUUUUCUUUUUUCUUUUUUUUUUGGUCUAACUAACUCCAAAAGGUUGGAAAAGAGUUCCUACAAAGGUUUUGGACAGUGAUUUUGACCCUAACGCCAAAAACCUUAAACCUUACCAUAGCCCGAAAACCAAAUACGUGGGUAUUACCUUAAGGAAGCCCGAACACCCCAAAUAUUUUUUUUUUCAUUUUUCGUUAUUUUUUGGUCUUACUAACUGCAAAAGGUCUGAAACAUGUUCCUAAAAAGGUUUUGGACAAUGAUUUUAACCCUAACGCCAAAAACCUUAAACCUUUCCCUAGCCCCAAAACCUAAUACCCGGGUAUUACCUUCAGGAAGCCCGAAAACCCCAAAUAUUUUUUUUUCUUUUCUUUUUUAUUUUUUGGUCUAACUUACUCCAAAAGGUCUGAAACAUGUUCCUUAAAAGGUUUUGGACAGUGAUUUUAACCCUAACGCCAAAAACCUUAAACCUUACCCUAGCCCCAUAACCUAAUACCCUGGUAUUACCUUCAGGAAGCCCGAAAACCCCAAAUAUUUUUUUUUCUUUUCUUUUUUUUUUUUGGUCUAACUUACUCCAAAAGGUUGGAAAAGAGUUCCUACAAAGGUUUUGGACAGUGAUUUUAACCCCAACGCCAAAAACAUUAAACCUUACCCUAGCCCCAAAACAAAAUACGCGGGUAUUACCUUCACGAAGCCCGAAAACCCCAAAUAUUUUUUUCUUUUUUCUUUUUUUUUUGGUCUAACUAACUCCAAAAGGUUGGAAAAGAGUUCCUACAAAGGUUUUGGACAGUGAUUUUGACCCUAACGCCAAAAACCUUAAACCUUACCAUAGCCCCAAAACCAAAUACCCGGGUAUUACCUUCAGGAAGCCCGAAUACCCCAAAUAUUUUUUUUUCAUUUUUCAUUAUUAUUUGGUCUAACUAACUCCAAAAGGUUGGAAAAGAGUUCCUACAAAGGUUUUGGACAGUGAUUUUAACCCCAACGCCAAAAACAUUAAACCUUACCCUAGCCCCAAAACCAAAUACGCGGGUAUUACCUUCAGGAAGCCCGAAAACCCCAAAUAUUUUUUUUGCAUUUUUCAUUAUUAUUUGGUCUAACUAACUCCAAAAUAUUGGGAAAGAGUUCCUACAAAGGUUUUGGACAGUGAUUUUAACCCCAACGCCAAAAACAUUAAACCUUACCCUAGCCCCAAAACCAAAUACCUUCAGGAAGCCCGAAAACCCCAAAAAUUUUUUCUUCAUUCUUCAUUUUUUAUUGGUCUAACUAACUCCAAAAGGUUGGAAAAGAGUUCCUACAAAGGUUUUGGACAGUGAUUUUGACCCUAACGCCAAAAACGUUAAACCUUACCUUAGCCCGAAAACCAAAUACCCGGGUAUUACCUUCAGGAAGCCCGAAAACCCCAAAUAUUUUUUUUUCAUUUUUCUUUUUUUUUUGGUCUAACCAUCUCCAAAAGGUUGGAAAAGAGUUCCUACAAAGGUUUUGGACAGUGAUUUUAACCCUAACGCCAAAAACCUUGAACCUUCCCCUAGCCCCAAAACCUAAUACGCGGGUAUUACCUUCAGGAAGCCCGAAAACCCCAAAUAUUUUUUUUUCAUUUUUCAUUAUUAUUUGGUCUAACUUACUCCAAAAGGUUGGAAAAGAGUUCCUACAAAAGUUUUGGACAGUGAUUUUAACCCUAACGCCAAAAACGUUAAACCUUCCCCUAGCCCCAAAACCUAAUACGUGGGUAUUACCUUCAGGAAUCCCAAAAACCCCAAAUAUUUUUUUUCUUUUUUCUUUUUUUUUUGGUCUAACUAACUCCAAAAGGUUGGAAAAGAGUUCCUACAAAGGUUUUGGACAGUGAUUUUGACCCUAACGCCAAAAACCUUAAACCUUACCAUAGCCCCGAAAACCAAAUACCCGGGUAUUACCUUCAGGAAGCCCGAAUACCCCAAAUAUUUUUUUUUUCAUUUUUCAUUUUUAUUUGGUCUAACUAACUCCAAAAGGUUGGAAAAGAGUUCCUACAAAGGUUUUGGACAGUGAUUUUAACCCUAACGCCAAAAACCUUAAACCUUUCCCUAGCCCCAAAACCUAAUACCCGGGUAUUACCUUCAGGAAGCCCGAACACCCCAAAUAUUUUUUUUUUCAUUUUUCGUUAUUUUUUGGUCUUACUAACUCCAAAAGGUCUGAAACAUGUUCCUAAAAAGGUUUUGGACAGUGAUUUUAACCCUAACGCCAAAAACCUUAAACCUUUCCCUAGCCCCAAAACCUAAUACCCGGGUAUUACCUUCAGGAAGCCCGAAAACCCCAAAUAUUUUUUUUUCUUUUCUUUUUUUUUUUUGGUCUAACUUACUCCAAAAGGUUGGAAACAUGUUCCUUAAAAGGUUUUGGACAGUGAUUUUAACCCUAACGCCAAAAACCUUAAACCUUACCCUAGCCCCAUAACCUAAUACCCGGGUAUUACCUUCAGGAAGCCCGAAAAUCCCAAAUAUUCUUUAUUCUUUUCUUUUUUUUUUUGGUCUAACUUACUCCAAAAGGUUGGAAAAGAGUUCCUACAAAGGUUAUGGACAGUGAUUUUAACCCCAACGCCAAAAACCUUAAACCUUUCCCUAGCCCCAUAACCUAAUACCCAGGUAUUACCUUCAGGAAGCCCGAAAACCCCAAAUAUUUUUUUCUUUUUUCUUUUUUUUUGGUCUAACUAACUCCAAAAGGUUGGAAAAGAGUUCCUACAAAGGUUUUGGACAGUGAUUUUGACCCUAACGCCAAAAACCUUAAACCUUACCAUAGCCCGAAAACCAAAUACCCGGGUAUUACCUUCAGGAAGCCCGAAUACCCCAAAUAUUUUUUUUUCAUUUUUCAUCAUUAUUUGGUCUAACUAACUCCAAAAGGUUGGAAAAGAGUUCCUACAAAGGUUUUGGACAGUGAUUUUGACCCCAACGCCCAAAACCUUAAACCUACCGUAGCCCCAAAACCUAAUACGCGGGUAUUACCUUCAGGAAGCCCGAAAACCCCAAAUAUUUUUUUUUCAUUUUUCAUUAUUAUUUUGUCUAACUUACUCCAAAAGGUUGGAAAAGAGUUCCUACAAAAGUUUUGGACAGUGAUUUUAACCCUAACGCCAAAAACCUUAAACCUUCCCCUAGCCCCAAAACCUAAUACGUGGGUAUUACCUUCAGGAAUCCCAAAAACCCCAAAUAUUUUUUUUCUUUUUUCUUUUUUUUUUGGUCUAACUAACUCCAAAAGGUUGGAAAAGAGUUCCUACAAAGGUUUUGGACAGUGAUUUUGACCCUAACGCCAAAAACCUUAAACCUUACCAUAGCCCGAAAACCAAAUACCCGGGUAUUACUUUCAGGAAGCCCAAAUACCCCAAAUAUUUUUUUUUUCAUUUUUCAUUAUUAUUUGGUCUAACUAACUCCAAAAGUUUGGAAAAGAGUUCCUACAAAGGUUUUGGACAGUGAUUUUAUCCCUAACGCCAAAAACCUUAAACCUUUCCCUAGCCCCAAAACCUAAUACCCGGGUAUUACCUUCAGGAAGCCCGAACACCCCAAAUAUUUUUUUUUUCAUUUUUCGUUAUUUUUUGGUCUUACUAACUCCAAAAGGUCUGAAACAUGUUCCUAAAAAGGUUUUGGACAGUGAUUUUAACCCUAACGCCAAAAACCUUAAACCUUUCCCUAGCCCCAAAACCUAAUACCCGGGUAUUACCUUCAGGAAGCCCGAAAACCCCAAAUAUUUUUUUUUCUUUUCUUUUUUUUUUUGGUCUAACUUACUCCAAAAGGUCUGAAACAUGUUCCUUAAAAGGUUUUGGACAGUGAUUUUAACCCUAACGCCAAAAACCUUAAACCUUACCCUAGCCCCAUAACCUAAUACCCUGGUAUUACCUUCAGGAAGCCCGAAAACCCCAAAUAUUUUUUUUUCUUUUCUUUUUUUUUUUGGUCUAACUAACUCCAAAAGGUUGGAAAAGAGUUCCUACAAAGGUUUUGGACAGUGAUUUUGACCCUAACGCCAAAAACGUUAAACCUUACCUUAGCCCCAAAACGUAAUACGGGUAUUACCUUCAGGAAGCCCGAAAACCCCAAAUAUUUUUUUUUCUUUUUUCUUUUUUUUUUUGGUCUAACCAUCUCCAAAAGGUUGGAAAAGAGUUCCUACAAAGGUUUUGGACAGUGAUUUUAACCCUAACGCCAAAAACCUUAAACCUUCCCCUAGCCCCAAAACCUAAUACGCGGGUAUUACCUUCAGGAAGCCCGAAAACCCCAAUUUUUUUUUUUUCAUUUUUCAUUAUUAUUUGGUCUAAUUAACUCCAAAAUGUUGGAAAAGAGUUCCUACAAAGGUUUUGGACAGUGAUUUUAACCCCAACGCCAAAAACCUUAAACCUUCCCCUAGCCCCAAAACCUAAUACCCGGGUAAUACCUUCAGGAAGCCCGAAAACCCCAAAUAUUUUUUUUUCAUUUUUCAUUGUUUUUUUUCGGUGAAACUUACUCCAAAAGGUUGGAAAAGAGUUCCUACAAAGGUUUUGGACAGUGAUUUUAACCCCAACGCCAAAAACCUUAAACCUACCCUAGCCCCAUAAACUAAUACCUUCAGGAAUCCCGAAAACCCCAAAUAUUUUUUUUUCAUUUUUCAUUAUUAUUUGGUGUAACUAACUCCAAAAUGUUGGAAAAGAGUUCCUACAAAGGUUUUGGACAGUGAUUUUAACCCUUACGCCAAAAACCUUAAACCUUCCCGUAGCCCCAAAACCUAAUACCUUCAAGAAGCCCGAAAACCCCAAAUAUAUUUUUUUCAUUUUUUUUUUGUUUUUUUUGGUGUAACUAUCUCCAAAAGGUUGGAAAAGAGUUCCUACAAAGGUUUUGGACAGUGAUUUUAAGCCCAACGCCAAAAACCUUAAACCUACCGUAGCCCCAAAACCUAAUACGCGGGUAUUACCUUCAGGAAGCCCGAAAACCCCAAAUAUUUUUUUUUCAUUUUUCAUUAUUAUUUAGUCUAACUACCUCCAAAAUGUUGGAAAAGAGUUCCUACAAAAGUUUUGGACAGUGAUUUUAACCCUAACGCCAAAAACCUUAAACCUUACCCUAGCCCUAUAACCUAAUACCUAAUUUUAUUACCUUCAGGAAGCCCGAAAACCCCAAAUAUUUUUUUUUCUUUUCUUUUUUUUUUUGGUCUAACUAACUCCAAAAGGUUGGAAAAGAGUUCCUACAAAGGUUUUGGACAGUGAUUUUGACCCUAACGCCAAAAACCUUAAACCUUACCAUAGCCCGAAAACCAAAUACCCGGGUAUUACCUUCAGGAAGCCCGAAUACCCCAAAUAUUUUUUUUUCAUUUUUCAUUAUUAUUUGGUCUAACUAACUCCAAAAGGUUGGAAAAGAGUUCCUACAAAGGUUUUGGACAGUGAUUUUAACCCUAACGCCAAAAACCUUAAACCUUCCCCUAGCCCCAAAACCUAAUACGCGGGUAUUACCUUCAGGAAGCCCGAAAACCCCAAAUAUUUUUUUUUCAUUUUUCAUUUUUUUUGGUCUAAUUAACUCCAAAAUGUUGGAAAAGAGUUCCUACAAAGGUUUUGGACAGUGAUUUUAACCCCAACGCCAAAAACCUUAAACCUUCCCCUAGCCCCAAAAACCUAAUACCCGGGUAAUACCUUCAGGAAGCCCGAAAACCCCAAAUAUUUUUUUUUCAUUUUUCGUUAUUUUUUGGUCUUACUAACUCCAAAAGGUCUGAAACAUGUUCCUAAAAAGGUUUUGGACAGUGAUUUUAACCCUAACGCCAAAAACCUUAAACCUUUCCCUAGCCCCAAAACCUAAUACCUAAUUUUAUUACCUUCAGGAAGCCCGAAAACCCCAAAUAUUUUUUUUUCUUUUCUUUUUUCUUUUUUGGUCUAACUAACUCCAAAAGGUCUGAAACAUGUUCCUUAAAAGGUUUUGGACAGUGAUUUUAACCCUAACGCCAAAAACCUUAAACCUUACCCUAGCCCCAUAACCUAAUACCCGGGUAUUACCUUCAGGAAGCCCGAAAACCCCAAAUAUUUUUUUUCUUUUCUUUUUUUUUUGGUCUAACUUACUCCAAAAGGUUGGAAAAGAGUUCCUACAAAGGUUUUGGACAGUGAUUUUGACCCUAACGCCAAAAACCUUAAACCUUACCAUAGCCCGAAAACCAAAUACCAAAUACCGUAUUACCUUCAGGAAGCCCGAAUACCCCAAAUAUUUUUUUUUCAUUUUUCAUUAUUAUUUGGUCUAACUAACUCCAAAAGGUUGGAAAAGAGUUCCUACAAAGGUUUUGGACAGUGAUUUUAACCCUAACGCCAAAAACCUUAAACCUUCCCCUAGCCUCAAAACCUAAUACGCGGGUAUUACCUUCAGGAAGCCCGAAAACCCCAAAUAUUUUUUUUUCAUUUUUCAUUUUUUUUUUGGUCUAAUUAACUCCAAAAUGUUGGAAAAGAGUUCCUACAAAGGUUUUGGACAGUGAUUUUAACCCCAACGCCAAAAACCUUAAACCUUCCCCUAGCCCCAAAACCUAAUACCCGGGUAAUACCUUCAGGAAGCCCGAAAAGCCCAAAAAUUUUUUUUUCAUUUUUCGUUAUUUUUUGGUCUUACUAACUCCAAAAGGUCUGAAACAUGUUCCUAAAAAGGUUUUGGACAGUGAUUUUAACCCUAACGCCAAAAACCUUAAACCUUUCCCUAGCCCCAAAACCUAAUACCCGGGUAUUACCUUCAGGAAGCCCGAAAACCCCAAAUAUUUUUUUUUCUUUUCUUUUUUAUUUUUUGGUCUAACUUACUCCAAAAGGUCUGAAACAUGUUCCUUAAAAGGUUUUGGACAGUGAUUUUAACCCUAACGCCAAAAACCUUAAACCUUACCCUAGCCCCAUAACCUAAUACCCGGGUAUUACCUUCAGGAAGCCCGAAAACCCCAAAUAUUUUUUUUUUUUUCUUUUUUUUUUUGGUCUAACUAACUCCAAAAGGUUGGAAAAGAGUUCCUACAAAGGUUUUGGACAGUGAUUUUAACCCCAACGCCAAAAACCUUAAACCUUACCCUAGCCCCAAAACCUAAUACGCGGGUAUUACCUUCACGAAGCCCGAAAACCCCAAAUAUUUUUUUUGCAUUUUUCAUGAUUAUUUGGUCUAAUUAACUCCAAAAUGUUGGAAAAGAGUUCCUACAAAGGUUUUGGACAGUGAUUUUAACCCCAACGCCAAAAACCUUAAACCUUCCCCUAGCCCCAAAACCUAAUACCCGGGUAAUACCUUCAGGAAGCCCGAAAACCCCAAAUAUGUUUUUUUCAUUUUUCAUUGUUUUUUUUCAGUGAAACUUACUCCAAAAGGUUGGAAAAGAGUUCCUACAAAGGUUUUGGACAGUGAUUUUAACCCCAACGCCAAAAACCUUAAACCUACCCUAGCCCCAUAAACUAAUACCUUCAGGAAUCCCGAAAACCCCAAAUAUUAUUUUUUCAUUUUUCAUUAUUAUUUGGUGUAACUAACUCCAAAAUGUUGGAAAAGAGUUCCAACAAAGGUUUUGGACAGUGAUUUUAACCCUUACGCCAAAAACCUUAAACCUUCCCGUAGCCCCAAAACCUAAUACCUUCAAGAAGCCCGAAAACCCCAAAUAUAUUUUUUUCAUUUCUUUUUUGUUUUUUUUGGUGAAACUAUCUCCAAAAGGUUGGAAAAGAGUUCCUACAAAGGUUUUGGACAGUGAUUUUAAGCCCAACGCCAAAAACCUUAAACCUACCGUAGCCCCAAAACCUAAUACGCGGGUAUUACCUUCAGGAAGCCCGAAAACCCCAAAUAUUUUUUUUUCAUUUUUCAUUAUUAUUUAGUCUAACUACCUCCAAAAUGUUGGAAAAGAGUUCCUACAAAAGUUUUGGACAGUGAUUUUAACCCUAACGCCAAAAACCUUAAACCUUACCCUAGCCCUAUAACCUAAUACCUAAUUUUAUUACCUUCAGGAAGCCCGAAAACCCCAAAUAUUUUUUUUCUUUUUUCUUUUUUUUUUGGUCUAACUAACUCCAAAAGGUUGGAAAAGAGUUCCUACAAAGGUUUUGGACAGUGAUUUUGACCCUAACGCCAAAAACCUUAAACCUUACCAUAGCCCGAAAACCAAAUACCCGGGUAUUACCUUCAGGAAGCCCGAAUACCCCAAAUAUUUUUUUUUCAUUUUUCAUUAUUAUUUGGUCUAACUAACUCCAAAAGGUUGGAAAAGAGUUCCUACAAAGGUUUUGGACAGUGAUUUUAACCCUAACGCCAAAAACCUUAAACCUUCCCCUAGCCCCAAAACCUAAUACGCGGGUAUUACCUUCAGGAAGCCCGAAAACCCCAAAUAUUUUUUUUUCAUUUUUCAUUUUUUUUUGGUCUAAUUAACUCCAAAAUGUUGGAAAAGAGUUCCUACAAAGGUUUUGGACAGUGAUUUUAACCCCAACGCCAAAAACCUUAAACCUUCCCCUAGCCCCAAAAACCUAAUACCCGGGUAAUACCUUCAGGAAGCCCGAAAAGCCCAAAAAUUUUUUUUUCAUUUUUCGUUAUUUUUUGGUCUUACUAACUCCAAAAGGUCUGAAACAUGUUCCUAAAAAGGUUUUGGACAGUGAUUUUAACCCUAACGCCAAAAACCUUAAACCUUUCCCUAGCCCCAAAACCUAAUACCUAAUUUUAUUACCUUCAGGAAGCCCGAAAACCCCAAAUAUUUUUUUUUCUUUUCUUUUUUAUUUUUUGGUCUAACUAACUCCAAAAGGUCUGAAACAUGUUCCUUAAAAGGUUUUGGACAGUGAUUUUAACCCUAACGCCAAAAACCUUAAACCUUACCCUAGCCCCAUAACCUAAUACCCGGGUAUUACCUUCAGGAAGCCCGAAAACCCCAAAUAUUUUUUUUCUUUUCUUUUUUUUUUUGGUCUAACUUACUCCAAAAGGUUGGAAAAGAGUUCCUACAAAGGUUUUGGACAGUGAUUUUAACCCUAACGCCAAAAACCUUAAACCUUACCCUAGCCCCAAAACCAAAUACGCGGGUAUUACCUUCAGGAAGCCCGAAAACCCCAAAUAUUUUUUUUUCUUUUUUCUUUUUUUUUUUGGUCUAACUAACUCCAAAAGGUUGGAAAAGAGUUCCUACAAAGGUUUUGGACAGUGAUUUUAACCCUAACGCCAAAAACCUUAAACCUUACCCUAGCCCCAAAACCUAAUACCCGGGUAUUACCUUCAGGAAGCCCGAAAACCCCAAAUAUUUUUUUUUCAUUUUUCAUUUUUAUUUGGUCUAACUUACUCCAAAAGGUUGGAAAAGAGUUUCUACAAAGGUUUUGGACAGUGAUUUUAACCCCAACGCCAAAAACAUUAAACCUACCGUAGCCCCAAAACCUAAUACGCGGGUAUUACCUUCAGGAAGCCCGAAAACCCCAAAUAUUUUUUUUUCAUUUUUCAUUUUUUUGGUCUAACUAACUCCAAAAGGUUGGAAAAGAGUUCCUACAAAGGUUUUGGACAGUGAUUUUAACCCUAACGCCAAAAACCUUAAACCUUCCCCUAGCCCCAAAACCUAAUACGUGGGUAUUACCUUCAGGAAUCCCAAAAACCCCAAAUAUUUUUUUUUUUUUUUCUUUUUUUUUUGGUCUAACUAACUCCAAAAGGUUGGAAAAGAGUUCCUACAAAGGUUUUGGACAGUGAUUUUAACCCUAACGCCAAAAACCUUAAACCUUACCCUAGCCCCAAAACCUAAUACCCGGGUAUUACCUUCAGGAAAUAUUUUUUUUUCAUUUUUCAUUAUUAUUUGGUCUAACUAACUCCAAAAGGUUGGAAAAGAGUUCCUACAAAGGUUUUGGACAGUGAUUUUAACCCUAACGCCAAAAACCUUAAACCUUACCCUAGCCCCAAAACCUAAUACCCGGGUAUUACCUUCAGGAAGCCCGAACACCCCAAAUAUUUUUUUUUUCAUUUUUCGUUAUUUUUUGGUCUAACUAACUCCAAAAGGUUGGAAAAGAGUUCCUACAAAGGUUUUGGACAGUGAUUUUAACCCUAACGCCAAAAACCUUAAACCUUUCCCUAGCCCCAAAACCUAAUACCCGGGUAUUACCUUCAGGAAGCCCGAAAACCCCAAAUAUUUUUUUUUCUUUUCUUUUUUAUUUUUUGGUCUAACUAACUCCAAAAGGUUGGAAAGAGUUCCUACAAAGGUUUUGGACAGUGAUUUUAACCCUAACGCCAAAAACCUUAAACCUUCCCUAGCCCCAAAACCUAAUACCCGGGUAUUACCUUCAGGAAGCCCGAAAACCCCAAAUAUUUUUUUUUCAUUUUUCAUUUUUUUUUGGUCUAACUAACUCCAAAAGGUUGGAAAAGAGUUCCUACAAAGGUUUUGGACAGUGAUUUUAACCCUAACGCCAAAAACCUUAAACCUUACCCUAGCCCCAUAACCUAAUACCCGGGUAUUACCUUCAGGAAGCCCGAAAACCCCAAAUAUUUUUUUUUUUUUUUUUUUUUUUUUGGUCUAACUAACUCCAAAAGGUUGGAAAAGAGUUCCUACAAAGGUUUUGGACAGUGAUUUUAACCCUAACGCCAAAAACCUUAAACCUUACCCUAGCCCCAAAACCUAAUACCCGGGUAUUACCUUCAGGAAGCCCGAAUACCCCAAAUAUUUUUUUUUCAUUUUUCAUUUUUAUUUGGUCUAACUAACUCCAAAAGGUUGGAAAAGAGUUCCUACAAAGGUUUUGGACAGUGAUUUUAACCCUAACGCCAAAAACCUUAAACCUUACCCUAGCCCCAAAACCUAAUACGCGGGUAUUACCUUCAGGAAGCCCGAAAACCCCAAAUAUUUUUUUUUCAUUUUUCAUUAUUAUUUGGUCUAACUAACUCCAAAAUGUUGGAAAAGAGUUCCUACAAAGGUUUUGGACAGUGAUUUUAACCCUAACGCCAAAAACCUUAAACCUUCCCCUAGCCCCAAAACCUAAUACGUGGGUAUUACCUUCAGGAAUCCCAAAAACCCCAAAUAUUUUUUUUCUUUUUUCUUUUUUUUUUUUGGUUUAACUAACUCCAAAAGGUUGGAAAAGAGUUCCUACAAAGGUUUUGGACAGUGAUUUUAACCCUAACGCCAAAAACCUUAAACCUUACCAUAGCCCGAAAACCAAAUACCCGGGUAUUACCUUCAGGAAGCCCAAAUACCCCAAAAAUUUUUUUUUUCAUUUUUCAUUAUUAUUUGGUCUAACUAACUCCAAAAGGUUGGAAAAGAGUUCCUACAAAGGUUUUGGACAGUGAUUUUAACCCUAACGCCAAAAACCUUAAACCUUUCCCUAGCCCCAAAACCUAAUACCCGGGUAUUACCUUCAGGAAGCCCGAACACCCCAAAUAUUUUUUUUUCUUUUCUUUUUUAUUUUUUGGUCUAACUUACUCCAAAAGGUCUGAAACAUGUUCCUUAAAAGGUUUUGGACAGUGAUUUUAACCCUAACGCCAAAAACCUUAAACCUUACCCUAGCCCCAUAACCUAAUACCCGGGUAUUACCUUCAGGAAGCCCGAAAACCCCAAAUAUUUUUUUUUUCUUUUCUUUUUUUUUUUUUGGUCUAACUUACUCCAAAAGGUUGGAAAAGAGUUCCUACAAAGGUUUUGGACAGUGAUUUUAACCCUAACGCCAAAAACCUUAAACCUUACCCUAGCCCCAAAACCUAAUACCGGGUAUUACCUUCAGGAAGCCCGAAAACCCCAAAUAUUUUUUUUUUUUUUUUUUUUUUUUGGUGAAACUUACUCCAAAAGGUUGGAAAAGAGUUCCUACAAAGGUUUUGGACAGUGAUUUUAACCCUAACGCCAAAAACCUUAAACCUUACCCUAGCCCCAUAACCUAAUACCCGGGUAUUACCUUCAGGAAGCCCGAAAACCCCAAAUAUUUUUUUCUUUUUUCUUUUUUUUUGGUCUAACUAACUCCAAAAGGUUGGAAAAGAGUUCCUACAAAGGUUUUGGACAGUGAUUUUAACCCUAACGCCAAAAACCUUAAACCUUACCAUAGCCCCAAAACCAAAUACCCGGGUAUUACCUUCAGGAAGCCCGAACACCCCAAAUAUUUUUUUUUCAUUUUUCAUUUUUUUUGGUCUAACUAACUCCAAAAGGUUGGAAAAGAGUUCCUACAAAGGUUUUGGACAGUGAUUUUAACCCUAACGCCAAAAACCUUAAACCUUACCCUAGCCCCAAAACCUAAUACCCGGGUAUUACCUUCAGGAAGCCCGAAAACCCCACAUAUUUUUUUUUCAUUUUUCAUUAUUAUUUGGUCUAACUAACUCCAAAAGGUUGGAAAAGAGUUCCUACAAAGGUUUUGGACAGUGAUUUUAACCCUAACGCCAAAAACCUUAAACCUUCCCCUAGCCCCAAAACCUAAUACCGGGUAUUACCUUCAGGAAGCCCGAAAACCCCAAAUAUUUUUUUUUCAUUUUUCAUUUUUUUUUUGGUCUAACUAACUCCAAAAGGUUGGAAAAGAGUUCCUACAAAGGUUUUGGACAGUGAUUUUAACCCUAACGCCAAAAACCUUAAACCUUACCCUAGCCCCAAAACCUAAUACCCGGGUAUUACCUUCAGGAAGCCCGAAACCCCAAAUAUUUUUUUUUCAUUUUUCGUUAUUUUUUGGUCUUACUAACUCCAAAAGGUUGGAAAAGAGUUCCUACAAAGGUUUUGGACAGUGAUUUUAACCCUAACGCCAAAAACCUUAAACCUUUCCCUAGCCCCAAAACCUAAUACCCGGGUAUUACCUUCAGGAAGCCCGAAAACCCCAAAUAUUUUUUUUUUCAUUUUUUUAUUUUUUGGUCUAACUAACUCCAAAAGGUUGAAAAUGUUCCUACAAAGGUUUUGGACAGUGAUUUUAACCCUAACGCCAAAAACCUUAAACCUUACCCUAGCCCCAUAACCUAAUACCCGGGUAUUACCUUCAGGAAGCCCGAAAACCCCAAAUAUUUUUUUUUCUUUUCUUUUUUUUUUUGGUCUAACUUACUCCAAAAGGUUGGAAAAGAGUUCCUACAAAGGUUUUGGACAGUGAUUUUAACCCUAACGCCAAAAACCUUAAACCUUACCCUAGCCCCAAAACCAAAUACGCGGGUAUUACCUUCACGAAGCCCGAAAACCCCAAAUAUUUUUUUUCUUUUUUUUUUUUUUUUGGUCUAACUAACUCCAAAAGGUUGGAAAAGAGUUCCUACAAAGGUUUUGGACAGUGAUUUUAACCCUAACGCCAAAAACCUUAAACCUUACCCUAGCCCCAAAACCAAAUACCCGGGUAUUACCUUCAGGAAGCCCGAAUACCCCAAAUAUUUUUUUUUCAUUUUUCAUUAUUAUUUGGUCUAACUAACUCCAAAAGGUUGGAAAAGAGUUCCUACAAAGGUUUUGGACAGUGAUUUUAACCCUAACGCCAAAAACCUUAAACCUUACCCUAGCCCCAAAACCAAAUACGCGGGUAUUACCUUCACGAAGCCCGAAAACCCCAAAUAUUUUUUUUGCAUUUUUCAUUAUUAUUUGGUCUAACUAACUCCAAAAUAUUGGGAAAGAGUUCCUACAAAGGUUUUGGACAGUGAUUUUAACCCUAACACCAAAAACCUUAAACCUUCCCCUAGCCCCAAAACCUAAUACCUUCAGGAAGCCCGAAAACCCCAAAUAUUUUUUCUUCAUUUUUCAUUUUUUAUUGGUCUAACUAACUCCAAAAGGUUGGAAAAGAGUUCCUACAAAGGUUUUGGACAGUGAUUUUGACCCUAACGCCAAAAACGUUAAACCUUACCUUAGCCCCAAAACGUAAUACGGGUAUUACCUUCAGGAAGCCCGAAAACCCCAAAUAUUUUUUUUUCUUUUUUUUUUUUUUUUUUGGUCUAACCAUCUCCAAAAGGUUGGAAAAGAGUUCCUACAAAGGUUUUGGACAGUGAUUUUAACCCUAACGCCAAAAACCUUAAACCUUCCCCUAGCCCCAAAACCUAAUACGCGGGUAUUACCUUCAGGAAGCCCGAAAACCCCAAAUAUUUUUUUUUCAUUUUUCAUUAUUAUUUAGUCUAACUUACUCCAAAAGGUUGGAAAAGAGUUCCUACAAAAGUUUUGGACAGUGAUUUUAACCCUAACGCCAAAAACGUUAAACCUUCCCCUAGCCCCAAAACCUAA
rnacentral:lncRNA from 1 species